rnacentral:lncRNA from 1 species
UUGUGUACCACUGCUUCUUCACCUCACUCUCUUGCUCAUAAAAAUCCAUCACUCCUUUUUUCAUCUCCUCCAAUAUAUUAUUCGGGAUUCCGUGAUUCACCAACUGAAAGAAUCCCCAGCUCUCUAACGCAUCCUUCAUUUGCUCGAUCACCUCCUUUCGUCGUAUUGGAUUGUUAUCGAUUCCUUGGAGGUCGAUGGUUGGAAGACUUUGGUUGUUGGGAGUUGAGGUCUUCAGGUGAAGGUAGAUGGAAUAUUCGAGGGACCUCGGUUACUCCAGAAUCAACAAGUCCUUUAACGCCGGUUUUGGUUUCGUCGAACGCCUGGAGCUCCGCUUUCCGGUCAUAGGCCGGUUGGAUUGAUAUAGAGGUACCAUUGAGGGCCAUUUUCUUUGUCUUGUGGAAGACA